ACAGCAGUCGCCACGGUAAAACGUAGGGUGCAAGCGUUAAUCGGAAUUACUGGGCGUAAAGCGUGCGCAGGCGGUUAUAUAAGACAGAUGUGAAAUCCCCGGGCUCAACCUGGGAACUGCAUUUGUGACUGUAUAGCUAGAGUACGGCAGAGGGGGAUGGAAUUCCGCGUGUAGCAGUGAAAUGCGUAGAUAUGCGGAGGAACACCGAUGGCGAAGGCAAUCCCCUGGGCCUGUACUGACGCUCAUGCACGAAAGCGUGGGGAGCAAACAGGAUUAGAUACCCCGGUAGUCCCUGUCUCUUAUAC
rnacentral:rRNA from 1 species